AUGACGAGGCAGACAGCCGCCCUCUUUGUGACCUGCUGCUAUUCCCCAUCUUGCACUGGCGAACUAAUGAUGCGGGAGCUGCCCUGUUUGCUACAACCCCACAGCUGUUCAAAGUUCAGACUUACGUUUUGUGAAGGCAAGGACAAGGAGAAGCCUAUGGAUAACAGUUCGUGUGGAGCUUGGCCAGUUCCUCUGUUCAUGUGUGAGCUUGCUCAGUUUGUCCAUUUAUCUCUGUUCAGUUCAUGUAGAGGAUCCCUCGAAUUCACCUCCUCUCGUUCUUUAUCACAAAUGAUUUUCGCUAUCCGCAGCAAAUUACAGUAUGAGAGUGGGAGUUUUAUAUUGUACUCUCUGCCUGCACAAUGCAUUUUGUAG
rnacentral:rRNA from 1 species